rnacentral:tRNA from 1 species
GUGGGUGUAGCUCAGGGGUUAGAGCACUGGGCUGUGGCCCCAGGCGUCGGGGGUUCAAAUCCCCUCACCCACC